rnacentral:lncRNA from 1 species
ACAUAACAGUCACACAGAGCUGGAAAGAAACGUGAGCAGUAUGAAAACACAAGGAGAGAAAGGACCACAAGUGAUGCAGGACAAUUCACAUUAGAAGCGGUAACAUCUGCAGCAAAAAGAAUGUCAGAUAAAGAUUUCAAGAUACACAUGGUUCAGAUGAUCUGGACUCUCAAGGAAGACCUUAGACAGCAAAUGCAGAUAAUUAAAGAUUACUUUGACAACAAAUUACAUAAACAAAUCUAAGAAGCAAAAGAUCAACUCUACAGGGAGAUAGAGGUUAUACAACAAAACCAAACAGAAAUCCUGGAAAGGAAGGAAAUAAUAAAGUGAAUUAAAAACUCAAAUGAGAGUAUCACCAGCAGAAUAGAACACUUAGAAGAUAGAACAUCAGACAAUGAAGACAAAGUAUAUCAUCUUGAAAAGAGUGUAUACCACACAGCAAGACUGAUAAGAAACCAUGAACAGAACAUCCAAGAAACAUGGGAUAGCAUAAAGAGACCAAAUUUAAAAGUUAUUGGGAUACAGGAAGGUCCAGAGGUCCAAAUCAAAGGAAUGAACAAUCUGUUCAAUUAAAUAAUAUUGGAAAACUUCUCAGACAUGAAGAAUGAAACAGAAAUCCAAAUCCUAAAAUCCUACAGGACACGAAAUGUGCAAAAUAACAAGUGAUCCACACCAAGACACAUUAUAAUGAAGAUGUCCAACAUACAGCAAAAGGAGAUAAUUUUAAAAGCCACAAGAGAAAGGAAGCAUAUUACAUUUAGGGGUAAACUGUUGAGAGCCACAGCCAAAGGGGCCCCAGCAAACUUCCAGCUGAUUGACUCACAGCGGCCCCAGCAAACUUCCAGCUGAUUGGCUCACUGUGGCCCCAGCAAAAUUCCAGCUGCCAGCUGAUUGGUUCCUAUGCGGUGAUGCUCAUUGGGCUAUUUCCCCGUCCUUUCAGACCAUGUAGCUGCUCAUUGGGGGACUCUUUUGGCUCUGCCCAUGCAACCAAGACAAUCGGCCUCAAGAGCAGGAGGAGAGGGGGGUUGAGAGGCUUGUGGGAAGCCGGUGGUGGCAGUUGGGCUCUGAGGGAAUUCCUGAAGAACUCGUGUGAUGUGGCGUGUGUGUUCUGAAAAUAAAGUUUGUUUCUGCUUGACAAGUGUCUCGUG